GUGCUCGCUUCAGAAGCACAUAUACUAUAAUUGGAAUGAUACAGAGAAGAUUAGCAUGGCCCCUGCACAAGGAUGACAAAUUGGUGAAGUGUUCCAUAUUUUU